AUAUACAGCCCCAGCACCCUGAGAACGCCCCAUCUCAUGUGAUGUGGGAAGCUAAGCAGGGUCGGCCCCGGUCAGCGCUUGGAUGGGAGACCAGCUGGGAAGGAGGGUGCUCAAUGGG
rnacentral:rRNA from 1 species